CUGCGGUCCCGCCGUACCGGUGAACGAGGAGACAAACAAAUUUACAAGUUAGCCAACCGACUCUUGUCGACGAGUUUAACAAUUUAUAGCCCCCGUGACUCUCGACCGACCACCCAGGUAUAGUACUUUCUUUACACCCUCGUACCACCAUACGACAGUGAACUCACAGUUAAUUUUUAAUGGGUUGAAUCCGUCAUUUUUAAGUCUUCUAUCAUGUCUGACGCUUGCAACGUGUCAUCGUCAGUGUGUGGCCAUCACUAGGGUAAUCAAGUAGAACGGGACGUACCUAAACAUUAUAGUAAAUAAACAAGCUGUAAAGUACUGGAAAACAUACUUUAUGGAGAUAAGAAUGAAAAAGAAUACAUGUCAUUGUCAGUAGUGUCAGGUUCUGUUACCAACGUGUUCGGAAAUGGCAGCUAAACCUAUUCGGAGAACAUAAAGUCCAACCAGUAGACCUCCUUGUCAUAGUUCUGACCCAAGUGGUCGGUUAACAAUCGUUCCUCCCCGGUGCCAAAAAACGGUUACUACAUAACCUCAAGAAUUGUGCAUGCUUUACCACCCGUCAAGGAGAGUAAACCAACGGACAACAAACGACCACGGACUUAUGUAGCUAGGUUUACCCGGUGUGUCAAGGUCUUCAUCGCGACUACCAACACCGUCCUUAUAAAUAGACCUGUGACCAACUUAUGCACGAUGUAGCCAUGGACAAGGUGUAUCUAUGAUUUUCAAUGACCUGUUUGUGCCGAGUAAUAGAAGACGUACCUACGGUAGUGUUCGUAGGUUACCUACCCGAAGCUGAACAUAAAGGUGGUUGACGGCGUCGGUAGAACACGAUAGGCAAGACCUUAAAACAGUUCGAGAAGUGUUGAUGUUGAUGGUGAGGACCGCACAAACCUCCACCGGACAACCCAAUGCACUAGAUACUAACGUGUGUGAUGAUGGACGUAGUGCGGGUGGGAAGUAAGCUAGGUCGUUUUAUAGAGUUCUUUAUGGUAGACUUGGUAGUGAAGUCUUAGGUUUUGUUCCCGAAACCUUAUUGUAGUUGGGACACCCUGGUACACAAACCUUGCGACGGAAGUUGCUUUUGGCGGCCGUUCUCGAGAACUCAACAACAUGGCGGAACGUCACGGUCUUAGUUCUGACAGGUUACCAACUAUUGCCUAACUUGCCUGCCUACUUGUUUGUUAAUUAGCCUCUGCAGUGACUUCACGAAUGUAGGAGUGACUACACAGCGCUUAUCUCACCAAGGUCUGAACUCGUAUACAACAGUACACAUGUCUCCAAAAAGAUAGAUUUAUCAUAUCGUGGUCGCAGCAAGUAAACACCGACAACCACCGGUCAUAUUAAAAACCCUGUUUAAUUCAUUAACGUAACGAACUAUAUAAACAUUCAAAGUGGUCGAAACGAUCAUAAGUCGCUUGGUAAGCCAAAAGAAAGGUAACGGCC
rnacentral:rRNA from 1 species